rnacentral:rRNA from 1 species
AUUGAACGCUGGCGGCAGGCCUAACACAUGCAAGUCGAACGAGUGGCGGACGGGUGAGUAAUGUCUGGGAAACUGCCUGAUGGAGGGGGAUAACUACUGGAAACGGUAGCUAAUACCGCAUACCAUCAGAUGUGCCCAGAUGGGAUUAGCUUGUUGGUGGGGUAACGGCUCACCAAGGCGACGAUCCCUAGCUGGUCUGAGAGGAUGACCAGCCACACUGCGACUGCGACACGGUCCAUACUCAUACGAGAGGCAGCAGGGGGGAGUAUUGCACAAUGGGCGCAAGCCGGAUGCAGCCAUGCAGCGGGUAUGAAGAAGGCCUUCGGGUUGUAAAGUACUUUCAGCGGGGAAGCGUUACCCGGAGAAGAAGCACCGGCUAACUCCGUGCAGGCGGCCGCGGUAAUAC